AACGUAGGAGACAAACGUUAUCCGGGGUUACUGGGCGUAAAGGGCGUGUAGGCGGUUAGUUAAGUCUGGCGUGAAAGCUCUCGGCUAAACCGGGAGAGGUCGUUGGAUACUGGCUGACUAGAGGACGGUAGAGGCGUGUGGAAUUCCGGGUGUAGUGGUGAAAUGCGUAGAGAUCCGGAGGAACACCAGUGGCGAAGGCGACACGCUGGGCCGUACCUGACGCUAAAGCGCGACAGCAUGGGGAGCAAACGGG
rnacentral:rRNA from 1 species